AUUAACGAUUACACCCGGUGUACUUAUCGUAAAUCGUGACUCACAAAAGCAUCCUGCCGUGUCUAACGGAUGAAAACGCGACCCGUUACUCUGGUAAAAGAGCUACCAAUCAUUUUUUUCUUUCAAAUUGUCGAAUAAUGUUACGGGUUACGGGAGAUGAUUAACAUCAUUACGGCACGUUGGUCAUCGCUAUCUUUGAUUUUUAAAUCGACGGCGUGGCUUACUCGGUUCGCGAAAGGAUUUAACGAGAAAAAAUUGGGUAACUGUUACGAACGAUUAUUCACUGAAACUGUGUCGCGGUAUUUUUGCAGUAUUGUUCCAUGCGAACGUGUAAAUUUCUUCGAUCGACGAUGGUAUCGUAAAGUAGAUGAACUUGCGUGGAUUCGUCAAGAAUUUGUUCUUUCUCAUUAGCAACAAGUACCCGUUGUAACAUUGUUUCAAUUCCAAACGAUUAAACAAACGUAAAAGCAUUAGUUCCGCUUUCCAGAGGUAUCCGCAGAGAUCAACGCUGUUAUCGCGGCGGUAAUUAAACAGAACGUCAAGGCUGCCGAAGCAUUCGCAUAAAUCACUCGGGACCGACAACCAGACAAAUGCUGGAACCUCGAAUCGUCGGUAAAUCUCGACGAAAACCAUUUGGAUCUCGAUUUCCAAGCAAUUACAAUCGGCAGCUGUGCGAGCGACCGCAUGAAUAACGACACGUUUCGCAAAGAAUGAAUCUUUCUUAAGUUACGAAUUCGUAGAUAUUCGAAACAGUGUAAACAAACAUCGCUGGAGACAGAAUUAAUAAAUCAUUCUUCCACAGACUUUGAAGAUUACGAUUACGAUUACGAUUACGAUUACGAUUACGAAGAAGGCACGAUCCAAAUAACAACAUAAUACCGAAUCGAUUAAGCCAAUAGAAUCUGAAAUUGCGUCUUUUUUAGGAAGGCGAGAUCUUCAAAAAGAUUGGAAAACCGCUACCGUAGACUCUACGACCUCGAUAUAACUGUAAUGCACUCGUUUGUAAUUGAGAAGAUCAGCUCGAGGUGGUUCGUGUGCUAUUAGAAUCGUAACUGAAUAACUUUGUUCAGUCACGCGUAUGGCAGAACGAUCUAACUGCUGGUUGUUUCGGUCAGGGCGUUAUCUCGUGGAGUAUCGGUUACUUGGCCACAAAGUAAUUUCACAGUACAAUGGCAUCAGCCGCGAUCCGGGCUCGAUUCGAGUAACCAGCCCAGUAAACUGUAAUAAAAGCGCUCGCCGGUUUCUGGUGUUAUUAAUAUUGAUCAACGUUACAUCUGGCAUCUGCGAAUCAAGGAGAUAAUUUGUUUCUUUGUCGUUUAACGGUCGACCAUAAAAUAAUGAUCAAUUACUUCGUAUCUGCGAUAACGAGGACGAGUUUGCUCGAGCAAUUAUACAUUGCACCAGUACUCGGUACAUUAACUACGUAUGUUCAAUUGAUACAAAUCAGUUUUGAAUCACUAUUGAAAACAGAGGUCUUUGUCGUAUCCUCCGUAUCAAUGGCAAAAGUUUAACAAGUAUAAAACUAACAGUGAGUUAACGAGAAUAAAGUGAAACUAAAAAUAGUGUUUUCAUCGAGGAAAGAGGAGAAAUGAAUAGCCUCUCAGAAAAACCGUUUAAUAGCUCCGCGAAAAAAAUGUUUUCGGCGUAUGGAAUCGAGGGAAAAGGUAGUCUUUCCCAAAGCUGCUGAACAGUGUGAUCUCUUUAGACUCUGUUAACAAGAUUCCGCAUCAUCGUUGGAAUUCUUAUCUGUUUCUUUCACUUGUAGCGCCGAAUUGGAAUUGGAAUUGUUUCUCGGAUAAUUAACUCGUCGUUAUAACAACACACGGACCGACUUUGCUAGACUGUCACGGAUCGUUUCGCAACGUGGCCACAUAAUGGAAAUCGGUGUGCUUAGGCGCAACGCGAACGAAAAAGUAACCGAGUCUCGUGGGACCUGAUUGAACGUAAACGUAACUUGGAUCUGGUAACGUGCCAUGCGUACGAUUUGGAAUCAACGGUGAUACUUCGAUUCCUUGAUGACCGCGGGGUAUAUGUGAAUAGUGCGUUACCGUAAUCGAGUUGGAGCAUGAUGGGAGAAGUGAUUCGCGUUUCUGGGAGAGCACCGGAUGUCGGCGAGUUCUUGAAGGAGGCGAUGCUGUCCCAAAGGUUCGCAGACGUUGCUCUCUGCUGUCCUGGUGGUCAGAGAUUCCUGGCGCACCGUCUGGUCCUAUCAGCUGCCAGUCCUUACUUGCAGGAAGUUUUGCUGGCGCAUAGCAAAACGUCGGCUCAUUGCGAGCCGAUCACAGUGAUCCUCGCCGAGGUGGAGGCACCGGAACUCGCGGCGAUCCUUGGUUUCGUCUACACGGGAACCGCGACCGUGCCACGUCCGCGUUUGAAUGCGUUUUUGCACGCUGCGGAGGCCUUGCGUAUCAGGUUGCCGCCAGUCCCAGUCGUGAUGACCUGUUCGCAAGCCGAUUGCAAGCACGAAGACAUCAAGGACGUGAAGAUCAACCCCAAGUACCUUCGUUGCGAUCAGUAUCCGUGCUGCGACGGCUGGUACCAGCACGAGGCGAAUCAAGAUGGAGAUUCCGCGAGCAAGGAGGAACCCUAUCCAGCGAUCGAGUCCCUGGAAGCAGCCAGAGAAAUCGGGCCGCUUCCUGAAUCGAUGAACUUUGUUGGACCGAGAUACAGUCCAACCAGAUAUUGCUCUACAACCUGGCCCGUUCCCGCAUUCGUAAAUGCCAGUCAGGAAAAGCGUGGCGUCGAUCAAUCAGCCGAUAAGGACAGGACAGGUCAGACAGACGUCAGGAGGUACCGUCCGGCCUCUAUGGCGCCGAGGAUCGAUAGGAUUACCGAGCCGAUUGGCAGCAACGCGGAGAACGUUCUCAGCUGCGACUCUUUGGUCAAGGCUCAGCAGGAAUUCUGCUUCUCCAGGUGUCCCUACGACGUUCAUAGACAGCUAGAUCCUCUCGAGGUGAGAAUGAGGACCGAUCGGGCUCGUACGCGGAUCGGUGAUAACGAGAGUAGGGAUCUAACGACGCGCGAGAAUCCUUUCGAAGAGGACAAAGGUUCGGAGGAUCGGCUGAGCGUGAUCCGUUCGCGGAUUGGCUCCUGCCAGAGCGGAACGGUAUCCUUGCAGUCCUCGGGUCGGACGAGGUCGUUCGAGAAAUCAGAUUACGGCGAGGAUUUAACUUGCGGGGAAAGUUGCUACAGCUGGAAAACACCGAAGAGGCACGUGGCCAAUCGCGUGAUAGCCUCACCGUGGAGACAGACGGUCAGGCCUUAUCAUUUACCCAAGCUCCAGCCCAUCGUCCUUCAGCCUCACGUGGAUGACGUCGAGAUUGGGGAGAGUCUGCGUCCUCCGGAAGCAACGCGAGCUGCGACCUCUCGCAGUCCUAAUCGUCAAUUAUCGAAAAAUCCCGUGUCCACCGAUCGUUACUACGGUGUCCAAGUUCCUACCAGUCACGAGAUGACGUACAACAAUUGUCCCAGGCUGCUAGAGCCUGCUGCUGUUCCAGGAACGUUGCACCACGACUACUACUCUUCUCAAAUCCCAUUCACCACGACCACGCAAACCGUCUCGAUGAUGAGCAACGACGUUGGAAGCUCUGAGACGCUUCUACAGGCACAGAACAACGUCGUGUCCACCACCACCAGGUCAUUGCUGCCUAACGGCAAUGAGGUGGUUCAAACGAAUGGCAACAGACAAGCUGGAUACUUUGGACAAGUCCCUCGUUCAGCCCAGAAGCCAGAAAUCUCUCAUCCAGUCAGCAGACUGUGCGAUACGAUCGAACCAGACGUGAAAAGCGAUCGUUUCACGGUUCUAGGAGUCGAGAGGGUGGAAAAAGAGCAACGGAACGAGGACAAGCUCGCUGAAAGGAUCGUUAUAAAUAGCGACAAAAAUAAUAACGACGCUAUCGCCGGGGACGAUAUUUCCCAACGUGGGAGGCCAGGAGGAGCGCAGGAGAGUCACAGGUGCGAUCAGUGUGGAAAGACAUUCGUCACCAGGGCGUCCCUGAAGGUCCAUAUAAGAACCCACUCGGGGGAGAAACCGUUUCGUUGCGCCGAUUGCGGUAAACAAUUCUCCCAGUUGCGCAAUUACAAGUACCACCGGAGCGUCCACGAGGGCACGAAGGAGUUCGCGGCCACCUGCCCGGAAUGCGGCAAGUACUUCAACGACCGUGGCUAUCUUAGCUCUCACAUGAAGAUCCACCGUAACCGGAAGGAGUACGGUUGCGCGGAAUGCGGGAAAAGCUUCAACCAGCGGGUCGCGUACAACAUGCACGUACGAAUACACACGGGCGUCAAGCCGCACCAAUGCGAACAAUGCGGGAAGGCUUUCUCGAGAAAAAUGUUGCUGAAGCAACACUUGAGGACCCAUUCGGGCGAACGACCCUACCAAUGUCAAGUCUGUCAGAAGGCUUUCGCCGAUAGGUCCAACAUGACGCUGCAUACCAGGCUCCAUUCGGGACUGAAACCGUAUCAGUGCACCCUCUGCUCGAAGGCUUUCACCAAGAAGCAUCAUCUGAAGACUCAUCUCAACUAUCACACGGGCACCAAGCCUUACUCCUGUCCGAAUUGUGGCCUCAGGUUCUCGCAGAGCAGCAACAUGAGAACGCACUUCAAGAAGUGCACCGUAAACAAUCCGACAGAAGUGAACGGCGCCCAGAUGGACGGCACCGUUACAGAGUCGUCCAGAGCCGCGCAGACGAGGAUGAUUUCGAGGACACCCACGGACGCCCUCACGCCUCCCAAUUCGGACCAAGAGCUGAGCAUCCUGACGCCCAUCUCGAAGACCAUCGGGAUCGAGGGAUGUGGAACGUGAACGAUUGCCCAAAGAGCUUGGUCGAAAUUGUGGACAAUGGCAAUCGAGUUGGAUGAAUUAAGGACCAGGUCGCCCGGAGAUUGCUCUAGCCUUCUCAAAGGUCAUUCUCGAGAGGAACAAUGGUGUUUCAGCUUGCACGGUUCUGAUAAGAAAAACAUUUCCAAAAAGUAGAAGCUUUGUUAGAUGCGAACCACGAAGAAAGAACACGAUUUUCGAUGCAAAUUGAAACAUUGGUUUACGCGCGUUUACUCAACGAUGGUAAUAAAUGCUAAUUACGAGUUAUUUCAAGGCACGACAGUAUCUGUGAGUUGGGAUAUCUAUCAUGGGAAGGCUGUCAGGUCGUGUAUUUCCUCGUCUGUACAUGUCUGUUGAGAAAGGAAACAACGGAAGAUAGAAAGCAGUGAGAGUAUCGAAUUUUCUUGCCUGGCGUGUUAAUAAAUGGAAUGGAAGUUGCAUGGAUGAUUAAUGGGUUUCAUCCGUUAUCGUUUUAACCUGAUCAAGCUUGGUAAAAAAAUACUGCCAAAAUGGUCGAAAACAAGUUGAUGAUGAAUGGCCCUCUAUUUUUCCAGAAAACGUACUUAUUUGUUUAUGCGAUACUAUCCAUCUUAACUCUGACUUUCAGACUAACACGAACCACCUAAGUAGUUAACGAUUCAAACGUUAAACGAAGAAUGUACUAAUAUAAUAACGUAGAAAGCAAGAGAAGGACAAAAAAGAGGACGGUUAUAUCGUAUCGUUACAAUCUCGCAACGACAUGCGUGGAGCUGACUGAUUAUGGAAGGAGCGAAUCGUUUACCUACAAAUUGUGUUCAGGCUAUGUCGCUGUACCAGCGAAGGUACGAACCUGAGGAUCACGGAGACGGGGUUAAUGGACGUGGACGUGCCCUCCGAAUUUCCCAACGUCGACGAUAAACUAAUUUCCGAAGCGUCGAGACCUCGACGACCCCCUCCCCCCCUCCCCAGGACUAAAUGUUACGAGAUUCUCAUCGUGAAAAGUGAAACACUCAUACGUCCCGGCACUGAACGCUGAAACAACAGAGGGAACGGACAAGCGUCAAAUUAAAUUCGAAAUGCUUCUGGCAUUUGUUGGUUCCGUAAUAGGAGAACUUAACGCGCGCAGCACGUUGCGAGAGCUUCGAUGGGGCGCCUGAUGAUACGUUGUAAACUGCAAUCGACCUCGUGAACUUAAGCGUUACGCUCGUACACACGGGAGUUUAUUGCUCAUGCCGACAGCAUCGCAACCCGCUUGAUAUUAAUUGGAACCGGUUGUACCGCGUUGCGAGCGUGUUCCAACACCGAGCGCAGAAUUAGAGCAAGGAUUUUGAAGGAACUGACGAAUAUCCGUUCUAUGUGGCACCGGUCAUUGAUUCCUGGACAGCUUACUCUGGUAAACGAGUAUAAUACGAUUAUCGAGUGCUAUCGGAAGUCGCAUCGGUUAAUUAACACCGACUACACGAGGUACUCGGUUCGUCCUAAACUAAAUUCUGCGUUAGUAACACGCUACAUAAACUAAUAUUCGAUGUAACGAUCGAGAUUUCAAUUCCGAGAUAUCCUCGAUGAGUUACGCGGGCGGAAUCUAGCAGAAAUCUGUAACGUCGUCUCCUCGAAGUUAAUUAAUACAGAAACAUUCUGCCUUUUGGAAAAUACUCGACGCGUCAACCUUAAUUCGCUGGGAUGAACUGACUUUCCCCCUUCGUCAUUUGCGAAAAAUGAAAUUUCUUGUAACACGGCGCACAAAGUAGCGCUAGAAUGUAAACCGUUUCGCGCAGCGGAACGUAUCAUAGGCGCGUACAGGAUCGCUAAAACGUCGUCUGUUCUGUUUUUCCAUUCGGCCUGGAAUGUGUCUGCAUACAUCAACGCGAAAAAUCAUAUACUUUGAGUAACUUCUGCCGUAUCAUGAUGGAUUCGUUGCGAGAUUGGUACCCACGACCAAAUCACGCUUGGCAAACUUCCUUGCCUCUGGCUGUCGCUACACGAUUUCGCCUCUUUAUUUUCUCAAACGUUGCCUUUCGAACUCUCUCUCUCUCUCUCUCUCUCU